rnacentral:rRNA from 1 species
UACGUAGGGUGCGAGCGUUGUCCGGAAUUAUUGGGCGUAAAGAGCUCGUAGGCGGUUUGUUGCGUCGGCCGUGAAAACUCAGGGCUUAACUCUGAGCCUGCGGUCGAUACGGGCAGACUUGAGUUCGGUAGGGGAGACUGGAAUUCCUGGUGUAGCGGUGAAAUGCGCAGAUAUCAGGAGGAACACCGGUGGCGAAGGCGGGGUCUCUGGGGCCGAUACUGACGCUGAGGAGCGAAAGCGUGGGGAGCGAACAGG